GAUGAACGCUGGCGGCGUGCUUAACACAUGCAAGUCGAACGAAGCACUUUAUUUGAUUUCCUUCGGGACUGAUUAUUUUGUGACUGAGUGGCGGACGGGUGAGUAACGCGUGGGUAACCUGCCUUGUACAGGGGGAUAACAGUUGGAAACGGCUGCUAAUACCGCAUAAGCGCACAGCAUCGCAUGAUGCAGUGUGAAAAACUCCGGUGGUAUAAGAUGGACCCGCGUUGGAUUAGCUAGUUGGUGAGGUAACGGCCCACCAAGGCGACGAUCCAUAGCCGACCUGAGAGGGUGACCGGCCACAUUGGGACUGAGACACGGCCCAAACUCCUACGGGAGGCAGCAGUGGGGAAUAUUGCACAAUGGGCGAAAGCCUGAUGCAGCGACGCCGCGUGAGCGAAGAAGUAUUUCGGUAUAUAAAGCUCUAUCAGCAGGGAAGAUAAUGACGGUACCUGACGAAGAAGCACCGGCUAAAUACGUG
rnacentral:rRNA from 1 species